rnacentral:tRNA from 1 species
GGAUUGUGGCUCAGUGGUAGAGUGCUUGCCUCGCACGUGUGAGGCACUGGGUUCCAUCCCCAGCACCA